rnacentral:tRNA from 1 species
GGUAGCGUGGCCGAGCGGUCUAAGGCGCUGGUUUAAGGCACCAGUCUCCUGUGAGGCGUGGGUUCGAAUCCCACCGCUGCCA